GUAGAUAACAGCUUGUCUGUCCACUUCCCUGUGACUAAGCGUGGACAGCAGCUGGGGAGAAACCGUGUCCUGCCAGUUCUGACCCUCGCACGCCUCCUCUUCCACCACUGCAGCAUCCGGCAACAGAGCCAGGGUGGUCUGAGGCCCGACCCCUCCCUGUCCUCCCCGCAGUCCUCCAUGUCCACGUCACUGCGUGAACGGGGAACAGACUCAUUUACGGCGGCACCCGUGCCACGUCGACGACCUUCCCCCUGAGCCUUCAGUGACUCGCUGCGCCCCAGACGCACCAACACGGCUACUGCUGGUGGACAACCUCUGUGUGUCUGUAGCUUCUCCUCCCUCCUCUCCUGUCGACUCUGUGUUACUCUCAAACUGCUGAAUGAUGUUCCUCACAUUGCCGUGACGGACUGAGACAGAAGACAGACAGGAAAACCUUGGAGUCUCUUAGCUUGAUGCCAGAGUGACGGAGGUACAGGAGGACGGCCCAAGCCAGAGGAGAACUUAAAUGAACAAAGAAGGACGGAGACGGAUACAGAACGGUCAUGAAUGAUAUGACGAUUAAAGGGGAGGAGCAGGAGAAAAGAAGUGGAAACAAGGAGGGAAAGUGCUGUAAAAACUUGAAUGUUUACCUUCUCUCUUCUUCAUGCUUUGACCUGAACAGAAAGAAGACACAAAUGUGAAAACAACAGCCUUAAAUACACUACAUCUCAGAAGUCUGCCUGAGAUAGAAAAAGGUCUCCAUCCAGAGUCUGCAGGUCUCCUUCUCCAAACAACGAGCCCAGACCCAUCAUCUGUUUGCUCCUGUAAAACACAGCAAAGGGGUUUUGAUUAACUUAACUAAACACAGAAACAUUUACAUCAGACUC